CAAGUGUAUCAAGCCGCGGAACAAAUCAAUAUAAUAAUAAUAUUUUUAAAUAUCAUUUUCAAGUAGAAAUAAAACCUUGUGCUUAGUGUUUUGUAAGCUUUAGCAGUGAUCGUCUUUGUCCCGGAGGAAAGAGAAAUACUAAAAUUCUUGAAAAUGGCGAAUCAGCAACAAGAAUCGAGUCGGCCAUGGAUUCUCGAAGCAUUGCCUCUUCUUGUAGUCAUACUAAUCGCUGCUCAUGUCCUCGCUUUGGUGUACUGGAUUUACCGGGUAGCAACUGAGAAACAGCCUCAGAGAAGUAAAAAGCACUAGCAAAAUGUAGAUAGAUUGAUUUCAUUUCGCUUCAGCUUGUAGGAAAAUGCAAGGGAUUCAUUCUAUACAUUUCAGACACAAGUUUUACACUCAAGGCAUUGGUGAUUAGCGAGCCCCCUUUGCCUAAGCAUACGUGUGUCUCCUUUUCUCCAUGGACUCUGUGCAAUUAUGUUGGAAAAGUCUGGCAUUUGUCUCACGUUAAUGGUUACCGUUAAUUUCUCGCCAUUGUUAAGAAACUUCUUCGUUCUUCUCUGUUAACACCAGAGUGAAUUUCUACCCCUACUUUAUGAUUCUUCUGUAGAAUUUGUUGCAUCACCAAUCCUCUUUUUCUGUGUUCUGUGUGUCAUAAGUUUUCACUAGAGCUUCUCAUCCACUUGUAAAUUCAGUCUAGUAUGAAAAUUGCAAGAACAGAAAUUUAAGGAUUGUUAGACAUUUUGGGGGUAUAAUUGGUUGUUUGAUUAGUUAGUUGUGUAAGCAUGUUAAAGUUGUAGACAGAAAAGGUUUUCUUCAAUGAUGUCAUCCAAAAGUUACUA